rnacentral:rRNA from 1 species
GACAGAGGGUGCAAACGUUGCUCGGAAUCACUGGGCGUAAAGGGCGCGUAGGCGGGAGGGCAAGUCAGUCGUGAAAUCUCUCGGCUCAACCGAGAAACGUCGGCUGAUACUGCCGUUCUUGAGGGAUGCAGAGGAGACUGGAAUUCCCGGUGUAGCGGUGAAAUGUGUAGAGAUCGGGAGGAACACCGGUGGCGAAGGCGGGUCUCUGGGCAUUUCCUGACGCUGAGGCGCGAAAGCGUGGGGAGCAAACGGG